rnacentral:lncRNA from 1 species
CUGCUGUGAAAAAAUACCACAGACUGAGUGGCUUAGACAAUGAAAAUUUAUUUUCUCGCAGUUCUGAAGGCUGGAAGUUCAAGAUCAAGGUGCUGGCAGGGCAGUUUUCUGGUGAGGCCUCUCUGCAUGGCUUACAAAUUGCAGCCUUCUCAUUGUGUCCUCACGUGGCCUUCUAACCACAGGACCAGGAACAGAAUUUGCCACCCCAAAAUACGCCUCUUUGACAUACAUGCUGUUUUGAGCUGAUGAUUAUUAAGAAACAGUAGACAGAGGAAAAGCUCUGAAAACCCAGUAGAAGUGACCCUUUUUAAGGGAAAUUUACAUUUGUAGGAGAAAUUGCCAUUUAUAAGAGUGUCUCCCUCUCUGUGCCUGGAAGAGGAGGUCAUUCUAAAUCUCUAGAAACUCUUAUCAGUGGAGAAGGCAGUCGCUUAAAUCUGCAUAACAACUUUACCCUUCUUGGUUACUGUACUUCCCCCCACCCCAACCCCCCCAACCUCCCACAACUGGCCCAUCUUAACAACAGAAUGUUAAAGCUCUUUUUCAGGGGCUUCAAACCAGCCAGGAGCAUGUGCAGAAGAGAAAGUUUUGACCUGCCAAUCGAAACUCAUCCUGCCGGCCCUUGCAUACCAGCCAGCCCUCCCUGAUCCCUUAAACUUUACCCCACACCUUGGGCGGCAAGACAGUUGAGAGCUUGGUCUCCUGUCUCCUUGCCAGUGAACUUCGCAAUAAAGCCUUUCUUUCCUCAAAAGCUGGUGUGUCACGGACCCAGCUUCUGUGUACCUCGGGUGGCACAGGUAACAGCCUCUUCUCCCUGCACUCACACCCAUAGGGUCUCCUUUUCUUAGAAGGACACCAGUCCUACUGGAUUAGCACCUAUCCAUAUGACAUCAUUUAACCUUAAUUAUCUUUAAAGGCCGUAUCUCCAAAUAUAGUCACAUUGGGGUUUAGAGCUUUGCCAUAGGAACUUUGGAGGAGGCACAAUUCAGUCCAUAGUGCUACUCAAAGCAAAACAUUUUAAGCCCCUACACAUGCAUUAGUCUUUCUGAACAUGACCAGGAUCAGCCUCUGCUUUAGCCAUUACUGCAGUCCCAGCCCCAUUCUUCGUCAUAUCCCUCAUGGAAGACAGAUAAUGGGGACACCCGCCUGGAAAUACCUUCUCAAGCGAGGUCUGAGAGGCCUUCUUAAGAACAGGUAGAACUUUUCCACUUGGGUUUGUAGUAAUCAUUUUGAUUACUAAGAUAAAUUUCUUGCUUACGGCUGGGCUCUUGGUUCUGUUCUUCAUGGUUGGGAACCAGAGCAGCUCAUUUCUCAAUCGUGGCAGAUACGUGAAUUUGCUUUAGCCCCUUUUUCAUUUCCUAAAACCCCAGGUCUGGAAUGGAUCACAGUUUGUAUAGGAUGGAUUUAAAUGACUCAUUGAAUUCUACAAACACUCAUUGUGUGCUCGUUGUAUGCCAGAUUCUCUAAAAGGCAGAAGGAAUAUAAAAAUCAGUAAAAUACAGUUUUGAGUCUUGGAUUCACUCUUCAGAUACUGCUCAAAGGGAGGAAGAAAACCUGAAAAUGGGUCCUGAAUGUCACAAGUGAGAUCUCCUUUCAUUCUUCCUGAAACUGGAAAGAGAUACGUAUUAUUAUCCCCACAGUACACCUGGGAGAUGCUCAGAGAUGUGAAACCACUUGCCUGAAGUGACAUGAUUCAUUUGUGAACGGUGGAGCAGGAUUCCAGCGGAGCCCCGUGUGGCUCGGCUGCACCGCCCCUCCCCAGGCUGGGCUGUACUGGCUCACCUUUACCCUUUGCCGACCCUCUGGACUCUCCUGAAAUGAAAUUCAUGGGACAUUCAUGUGGAAUCCCUGAGGUGGAUAAGAUUUUUGCUCAGAAAGACUCACUCUCUCCCCUCUACCUCCGUGGGAGGAGGGUACCUUCUUUCCCACCCCUUGAUUUGGGGCUUACCAAUGUGGCCUGCUUUGGCCAAGUGCGACCAUCGCAGGAAGACCGAAAUGAGGCGUGAAAUGUG